rnacentral:rRNA from 1 species
UACGGAGGGUGCAAGCGUUAAUCGGAAUGACUGGGCGUAAAGGGCAUGUAGGCGGAUGAUUAAGUUAGAUGUGAAAGCCCCGGGCUUAACCUGGGAAUUGCAUUUAAAACUGGUCAUCUAGAGUUUUGUAGAGGGGGGUAGAAUUCCACGUGUAGCGGUGAAAUGCGUAGAGAUGUGGAGGAAUACCGGUGGCGAAGGCGGCCCCCUGGACAGUAACUGACGCUCAGAUGCGAAAGCGUGGGUAGCAAAC